UGAGGGAGUUUCAUUUUUGGGGCCAUUCUCACCACAAGAGCAAGCAAGGAGACUCGGAAGAUCAAAUGGGUGAGGAGAAGGAGGGUUAUUAGAAGAUGGAAAGGGAUUUUGGCGGAGAGAAAUCAUGAUUUUGAGAAGAACGGUGGAAGCUAGGGCACACUCCAACCGCUUCAAUCAAGGGAGAAAGAUGCGAAAAGCUCCUUUCCCAAGGAGUGAUUUGAGGUGGAGAGGUGAUGGGAGAAUGAUCUUGGGCUAAAUCCUUGGUUUCGGAG
rnacentral:lncRNA from 1 species